ensembl:antisense 4930527E20Rik RIKEN cDNA 4930527E20 gene
ACUCCAGGUCAGAGCAGCCAUGCCUGAUCCAAAGAGGACCAGAGCGCUCUCUUAGACCCAGAGUGGGCUGCGCUUGACUGAGUGGAAGACAAAGAUGGAUGGAAAGGAGGGGUGUAUCACCCCCACCCUCCUAGGACAGGAAGAGCACAGGGGGCCUGGAAAUCCAGGAACCAAGGGUGGAAAACUCUCAUGAUGUUGGUUUUUAAGAAUCCAGCCUUGUGGCGCAUGGAGGCGCGUGCCUGUAACCCCAGCAACCACGUCGAUGAUGCAGAAGGAUCCCGAAGUUUACGGCAAGAACUCAGUUGGACUCUUGUCUUAAAAGAGCUACACCCUGAAGUGAGUGAGAUGUCA